rfam:Bacteriovorax sp. BAL6_X ctg7180000028176, whole genome shotgun sequence.
AGAGUUAAGGAGACUAUCGCUGGUUUAUUAUACUUCGGUAUAGUGAACGGGAGGAAAGUCCGGGCACCAUACGGCAGCUUAGCGGGUAACGCCCGUCGGUCGCGAGACUAGGACAAGUGCAACAGAGAAGAAGUACAGGGGUUUGAACUCGAUUGGGGUAGCUUCGGCCGGCCAAUCAGUGACGAGAUUUAUCUCACCUGCUGUAGUGAAAAUAGGUAAACUCUAGGCGGUGCAAGCUUGAAUAGGUCAACUCAUGGGGUAGCCGGCCCUUGUUGACGGGUUAAGCGCUCGAGCCAGUGGGUAACUACUGGCCUAGACGAAUGAUAGUCCAAUACAGGACCCGGCUUAUACCUUAACUCUUCUU